UCACCUCUAAGGACUGGUGUUCCUUUUUAAUCCUGCACACAGGUUCCUUACGUGCCAAAGGGGCUCUCAAAGCUGCAGACUUACUAUUGGGACUGCUCAUUUUUAAAGGCUGUUUUCUCUCUCAGAAGAUUUUUUUUUUUGAUGUCAACAUAAAUAGCAUUUGACAUUUCACAAUAGAGUUAGCAAUAACCACCCAGUAGAGGGUAGGCAGGAGAGGCAGCUGGACUUGUGGAGGAGGCCUGCUCUGUGGGAUCCCAUGGUUACUAUUCUUUGUGGAAUAAGGAUAGUGGUAGCAAUCAUUUCAUCUUUGGCUCCAUUUAAUCUCCAACAGGGAAGAUGUGAUCUAUCACCUCACAGACCACAGCAGAAUUUCCAGCACUGGGGAUGACUACAGUGUGCUCCCGAGAGGCAGUCUGACAGGAGUGUCCAUCCAUACACCUAGCUAGCCAGUGUGACCCAGUGACCUAUUGCCACUUGCUGCCAUACGUGGGCUAUGCCUGUGUUCAUCGCUGUAGAAGUAAGGGGGAAUCCUGGCAUGUACCCAGCUCUCUGACAGUGCAAGUAGAAGAUUUGAUCAAAGUGAAGGGGAUCCCGGCUCUGCCUCAGCCGAGGUCCCUUAUUUACAAGCAGCUGGAACUUGCUCCCACCUCUGGAUGAGACACAGAAGGAUACCACAAU
rnacentral:lncRNA from 1 species